UGGCUCAGUGGUAGAGCGCUUGCCUUGCAUGCAUGAGGCCCUGAGUUCGAUUCCCCAG
rnacentral:tRNA from 1 species